rnacentral:rRNA from 1 species
ACGAACGCUGGCGGCAUGCCUAACACAUGCAAGUCGAACGAGAUCGCUGACUUCGGUUGGCGGUCUAGUGGCGCACGGGUGCGUAACGCGUGGGAAUCUGCCCUUAGGUACGGAAUAACUCAGGGAAACUUGUGCUAAUACCGUAUGAUGUCGAAAGACCAAAGAUUCAUCGCCUAGGGAUGAGCCCGCGUAGGAUUAGCUAGUUGGUGGGGUGAAGGCCUACCAAGGCUACGAUCCUUAGCUGGUCUGAGAGGAUGAUCAGCCACACUGGGACUGAGACACGGCCCAGACUCCUACGGGAGGCAGCAGUGGGGAAUAUUGGACAAUGGGCGAAAGCCUGAUCCAGCAAUGCCGCGUGAGUGAAGAAGGCCUUCGGGUUGUAAAGCUCUUUUACCCGGGAAGAUAAUGACUGUACCGGGAGAAUAAGCCCCGGCUAACUCCGU